UACGAAGGGGGCUAGCGUUGCUCGGAAUCACUGGGCGUAAAGGGCGCGUAGGCGGCCAUUCAAGUCGGGGGUGAAAUCCUGUGGCUCAACCACAGAAUUGCCUUCGAUACUGUUUGGCUUGAGUAUGGUAGAGGUUGGUGGAACUGCGAGUGUAGAGGUGAAAUUCGUAGAUAUUCGCAAGAACACCGGUGGCGAAGGCGGCCAACUGGACCAGUACUGACGCUGAGGCGCGAAAGCGUGGGGAGCAAACAGG
rnacentral:rRNA from 1 species